AUCCAGUUGACGAGUCCCAAAUAGGACGAAAUGCGCUUUAUCCUAGAU
rfam:Trichobilharzia regenti genome assembly, scaffold: TRE_scaffold0000545